CUGGUUCCCCUCUGUACACAGAGGAGGCGGUAAGCAUCUUUCCACUGGGGACUUUGGAGAAGGUCAGAAGGGGCCUGAAAGAGGGUCUCCGGUGAGGCUUUGCCACUGGGGCAGAGGGGAAUGGUCCUCAGAACA
ensembl:miRNA